UUGGAGGGCAAGUCUGGUGCCAGCAGCCGCGGUAAUUCCAGCUCCAAUAGCGUAUAUUAAAGUUGUUGCAGUUAAAAAGCUCGUAGUUGAACUUCGGGGUUUACUCAUUGGUCAGGCUUAAUUGUCUGUACUGGUGAGAUAAAUCUCUACCUUCUGAGGAACUUUCAUGCCAUUUAUUUGGUGUGAUUGGAAAUCAGGACUAUUACUUUGAAAAAAUUAGAGUGUUUAAAGCAGGCUAACGUCUGAAUAUAUUAGCAUGGAAUAAUGAAAUAGGACGGCUUGGUUCUAUUUCGUUGGUUUCUAGGAUCACCGUAAUGAUUAAUAGGGAUAGUUGGGGGCAUUAGUAUUCAAUUGUCAGAGGUGAAAUUCUUGGAUUUAUUGAAGACUAACUACUGCGAAAGCAUUUGCCAAGGAUGUUUUCAUUAAUCAAGAACGAAAGUUAGGGGAUCGAAGACGAUCAGAUACCGUCGUAGUCUUAACCAUAAACUAUGCCGACUAGGGAUCGGACGAAGUUAAUUUUAUAAUGACGCGUUCGGCGCCUUACGGGAAAC
rnacentral:rRNA from 1 species